CGCAAUUGGAAAAUUGUGUUUUUGUUGCGCACGUUUGCUACGGUAGCGGAGAAGAGGACGUUUAAUCAAAUAUGACUGAGCAAUCUCCUUCAAAUGGAUGCCAACUUGUUGGGCACUUCGUCUUACUCAGAUUGAGGUUCUAAUCAAAGCCCUCGUCUUUGCAUGCACGCCAGAAACGGAGCACUCAAAACACUCAAAUGGUGAGAUUUCGCUCACUGUGAGUUGGAGGAAAUGUGAGAUUCAUGAGACGGUUUAAAUCUUCCCCGUUUUUUUUUUGUUUUUUUUUUAAGAAAUCAGAAUGCAGCGCA